rnacentral:lncRNA from 1 species
CUCCCCCACACCCCUCGAAUUUGCAUCACCAACCACUCUUUUCUUUCUCCCCUCCUUUAUCUUCCCGUUCAGCAUUUCUGAAAGGACUGAACAACAAACAGCGGCGUUCACAUUACUUCACUAAAGAUUUCAUCAAACUGAAGCAGAUCCCAACAUGGAAAGAAAUGGCCAAAAGCGCUCGGAUCCAGCAACCUGAAGAAACCAAUUACCCCAAGGAUAAUAAUCUGAAUGGGAAAAUCUCCCUCUUCCGAGGAGACAUUACCAAGUUGGAGGUCGAUGCAAUCGUCAAUGCUGCUUAAAAACCAUUCACGUGUGAACCUGAGAUUCAUUGGGAAUUCAGAGCCCCUCCUCCUCCCCCCCACCACCAUGGAAGGUUUGAUUAUCUUGCUGGUUGGAAGACGCUGCUGGCCUGUCCCAUCUUCACACAUCGGUUUCUUUUUUGUUUUGUUUUGUUUUGUUUUUUUUGCUAAAAACUCGAGAGCUACAUGGUAAGUUUAUUCCUAUGGAGAGAAUCGUCUCGAGUUACUGUCCCAAGAGAUAGCUGGGUGAGGAGGUAACGAUGGAGAACUUUACCAGCAAGGUUGCAUUGACUCGAGUUGUGACAAAGAGUAACUUUUCAGGAUCCCCCAAAGAAAAAAAGGGGGGAACCUUCCCCGAACUGCAUUGUUUCUCAAUUUUGCACAAUAAAUCCAGAACCUAUAAGGAAAGCAGAAUUAUGGGGUGCAAAACAAAAGUAAUCUUCCCACACAUCCUCCAGGACAGUUGACAGUUUAGCCAUCACGACAGAGUUUUCUUUCUUUUCUUUUUAUAAUCUAACCCCUGAACAAAAUAGAAGAUUUAUACAGGAAGAAAGAUAAACAGGCAGCAUUUUUUUUUGAUCCUCAGUGUCAUUUCUGCCUUCCUCUAGAUCUUCCCCUGUUCCCUUCUACCCCCCUCACAGGGAAAAAGCCCACCACAAACCCCAAUAAAACCGAACGUUCAUUCACGAUUGUUCCUCCUGAUCGUUCCUUUUUCGUUUGUUUGCUUUUUUUUGUUUUAAAUCUGGCAUAUUAAAUAUAAAUUAAGUCUUUUAUCCCCUCCGUAUCUACUUUUCAAAACUUGGGUUUUGUGUACGCUGUGUGGGUUUUGCUUUUCUUCCCCUCCCCUACAAAAUAAGGUUGGUUUGUAAAAUUCGCUUCCCUUCCCCUCCCCUUCGGUUCCAGUGGGUUCUGCUUGGAAAAUAUAAGUCCGCGUUUUGCCGUUUCUCUUCCUUCUCGGCAAAAAAAAAAGUUGAAACCACCCAACCAAAGAACCGAUCCAAGCCCAAACCUGUGUGCAUAUGCGUCUGUAUAUGUGUGUGUGUGUGUGUGUGAGAGAGAGAGAUUGGGGAGGGGGUAAAAACAGGGGAGUGUGGAGUGUGGGCACGGGGGUGGGAAAGGGCGACAUGAUGCAUCCGGA